rnacentral:lncRNA from 1 species
GAUUUGCUCCACAUUACUCGGUAGGGCUGAUAUUUCAUGCCUCAUGGAUGAGAAAAGAAUAGGCAAAAAUUAUAUCUCGGGCUGCCUCACACAUCUUUUAACAGGAUAAGGGAAAAAUAAAUAUAAGACCUAUGAGUUAUGGCAUCAGGCUUGAACUUUAAUUUAUGAAUUAAACCAACAAUAUUAUUGAUUAUUGCAAUUAUCUAUCUUAAUUUCAUUUGUUCUCCUUUUAAAAAUUAAUUAUGUUUAUUUUACCUAUUGUGAAUAAAGUCACUCCUCCCAUGUGCUUAUUUCUUGACUCUGGCACUAAUUAUUCUUCAGUGCCUAGAUUUCCUGGGACUGCUCAGUUUAAGUAACUUCUGAACAUUGGUCUCUGAGAGAAAAGACAGUGAAGUGGGAUCUGUGGAAAAACACAUCUGCAAAUGUCUCAUUUUUUUCUUCAGGGAUCAGUCUACGCAAAUGUGUUUGGGUGCAAUGUACCUGGCAAUUUCAUGGGGCAGUCGGGAGGACAGUGUGGCUGAAGCACAGUGAGUGAGAGGGUCCUAGGAACAUGGAUGCUGAGAUGGUGUCUUCUCCAUAUUUUCAUGGCCAGACUUCCUGUUAAGGCUGGAGGUGAG